rnacentral:rRNA from 1 species
ACUCCUACGGGAGGCAGCAGUGGGGAAUUUUGGACAAUGGGCGAAAGCCUGAUCCAGCAAUGCCGCGUGCAGGAUGAAGGCCUUCGGGUUGUAAACUGCUUUUGUACGGAACGAAAAAGCUCCUUCUAAUACAGGGGGCCCAUGACGGUACCGUAAGAAUAAGCACCGGCUAACUACGUGCCAGCAGCCGCGGUAAUACGUAGGGUGCGAGCGUUAAUCGGAAUUACUGGGCGUAAAGCGUGCGCAGGCGGUUAUGUAAGACAGAUGUGAAAUCCCCGGGCUCAACCUGGGAACUGCAUUUGUGACUGCAUGGCUAGAGUACGGUAGAGGGGGAUGGAAUUCCGCGUGUAGCAGUGAAAUGCGUAGAUAUGCGGAGGAACACCGAUGGCGAAGGCAAUCCCCUGGACCUGUACUGACGCUCAUGCACGAAAGCGUGGGGAGCAAACAGGAUUAGAUACCCGUGUAGUCCCA